AUGGUUGACCUCGGAUCAGGUAGGGAUACCCGCUGAACUUAAGCAUAUCAAUAAGCGGAGGAAAAGAAACCAACAGGGAUUACCUCAGUAACGGCGAGUGAAGCGGUAAAAGCUCAAAUUUGAAAUCUGGCCCUCUCAGGGUCCGAGUUGUAAUUUGUAGAAGAUGCUUCGGGUGUGGUUCCGGUCUAAGUUCCUUGGAACAGGACGUCAUAGAGGGUGAGAAUCCCGUAUGUGACUGGAUACCUACGCCCAUGUGAAGCUCUUUCGACGAGUCGAGUUGUUUGGGAAUGCAGCUCAAAAUGGGUGGUAUAUUUCAUCUAAAGCUAAAUAUUGGCCAGAGACCGAUAGCGCACAAGUAGAGUGAUCGAAAGAUGAAAAGCACUUUGGAAAGAGAGUUAAACAGUACGUGAAAUUGUUGAAAGGGAAGCGCUUGCAAUCAGACUUGCGCUCGGGGUUCAGCGGGGCUUCUGCCCCGUGUACUUCCCCGAGCUCAGGCCAGCAUCGGUUUGGGUGGUUAGAUAAAGGCCUGGAGAAUGUGGCCCUCUUCGGGGGGUGUUAUAGCUCCAGGUGCCAUGUAGCCUACCUGGACCGAGGACCGCGCUUCGGCUAGGAUGCUGGCGUAAUGGUUGUAAGCGAC
rnacentral:rRNA from 1 species